UAGGGUGAAGCUCGUAGAUUUAAGCACUUAGCUGUUAACUAAGAUAUUGUAGGAUCAAAGCCUACCACUCUAG
rnacentral:tRNA from 1 species